UACGUAGGGUGCAAGCGUUAAUCGGAAUUACUGGGCGUAAAGCGUGCGCUAGGCGGUUGUGCAAGACAGAUGUGAAAUCCCCGGGCUCAACCUGGGAAUUGCAUUUGUGACUGCACGGCUAGAGUGUGUCAGAGGGGGGUAGAAUUCCACGUGUAGCAGUGAAAUGCGUAGAGAUGUGGAGGAAUACCGAUGGCGAAGGC
rnacentral:rRNA from 1 species